UACAGAGGGUGCAAGCGUUGUUCGGAUUUACUGGGCGUAAAGCGUACGCAGACGGCUUGGUAGGUCGGAUGUGAAAGCCCCGGGCUUAACCUGGGAACUGCAUCCGAUACUGGAUGGCUUGAAUCCGGGAGAGGGAUGCAGAAUUCCAGGUGUAGCGGUGAAAUGCGUAGAUAUCUGGAGGAAUACCGGUGGCGAAGGCGGCAUCCUGGACCGGCAUUGACGCUGAGGAGCGAAAGCUAGGGGAGCAAACGGG
rnacentral:rRNA from 1 species